GUGUAGUUUGAUGCGUAAACUAUCACUUUGUAAGUUACAUCAAAUCUGUAAAUAAACUAGAUCAAAGAUCAUCUAAUUCUUGACCUAAUUCAAUAUGUAAAUUAUCUUAACAAGGCCAUCCAGCAAUCAAUAAGUCUAUAUGGCCUAAUCUCUUCAAAUCCUUAUUAUUAAUAAAACUAACAUUAUAAAGAAAUUAACUAAAAUAAUGAAGUAUGGC
rnacentral:lncRNA from 1 species